rnacentral:rRNA from 1 species
UGGCUGCACGGAUGAGUAACACSUGCACUAACCUACCUCCGAGUGGGGAAUAACCCCGGGAAACCGGGGCUAACACCGCAUAACACCGCAUGGUCAAAUGCGUAAGCASCUUGUAGAGGCRGUCGCGGUUGAUCAUCUAGUUGGUAGGGURAUGCCCUACCAAGGCAMUGAUCAAUAGCCGGCCUGAGAGGGCGCACGGMCACACUGKAACUGAAACACUGUCCAGACUCCUACGGGAGGCAGCAGUGGGGAAUUUUGCGCAAUGGKGGAAACCCUGACGCAGCAAUGCCGCGUGGASGAUGAAGUCCUUUGGUAUGUAKACUCCUUUCUAUCGGCAAGAUAAUGACGGUUCCGGAMGAAGAAGCUYCGGCUAACUUUGUGYCAKCAGCCGCGGUAAUACAGAGGGGGCAAGCGUUGUUCGGAAUUAUUGU